UGAAGGUAGGGUUAGGAUGAACUGGGAUGUGGACAUGAAGGUAGGGUUAUGAUGAACUGGGAUGUGGACAUGAAGGUAGGGUUAUGAUGAACUGGGAUGUGGACAUGAAGGUAGGGUUAUGAUGAACUGGGAUGUGGACAUGAAGGUAGGGUUAUGAUGAACUGGGAUGUGGACAUGAAGGUAGG